AAUAGAUACCCCGGUAGUCCACGCCGUAAACGUUGGGCGCUAGAUGUGGGGGCCAUCCCACGGUUUCCGCGUCGUAGCUAACGCAUUAAGCGCCCCGCCUGGGGAGUACGGCCGCAAGGCUAAAACUCAAAGGAAUUGACGGGGGCCCGCACAAGCGGCGGAGCAUGCGGAUUAAUUCGAUGCAACGCGAAGAACCUUACCAAGGCUUGACAUAUACGAGAACACUGCAGAAAUGUAGGACUCUUUGGACACUCGUAUACAGGUGGUGCAUGGUUGUCGUCAGCUCGUGUCGUGAGAUGUUGGGUUAAGUCCCGCAACGAGCGCAACCCUCGUCGCAUGUUGCCAGCACGUAAAGGUGGGAACUCAUGUGAGACUGCCGGGGUCAAUUCGGAGGAAGGUGGGGAUGACGUCAAAUCAUCAUGCCCCUUAUGUCUUGGGCUUCACGCAUGCUACAAUGGCCGGUACAAAGGGCUGCAAUACCGUAAGGUGGAGCGAAUCCCAAAAAGCCGGUCUCAGUUCGGA
rnacentral:rRNA from 1 species